AUGGACACAAAGGCGUGCAUCUCGCUUGUAAUCCUCGCGCUCGUGCUCGCCGGCCCGGACACGAGGGCUGCGGCGCUCGCCGGCAUCGACGCCGCGGCGGCGGUUAUGCCAACGUCGUCGUCGUCUUCUUCCCGCAUAAAGCUUGAGGACGGCGUGGCGCCGGAGCUCCUGGAUUCGACCACGGUGGACCUGGAGGGGCACCGCCGCGUCCUCGCCGGCAGAGGCAUCAGCGCGAGUUCCCUGAACCCCAACAAGGCAGCCUGUACCAGGACGUGCCCGGCGCGCGGAGGGGCCUACACCGGCCGGGCAUGCCUCAGAAGAUACCAGUGCCGUUAG
rnacentral:rRNA from 1 species